rnacentral:rRNA from 1 species
CGUGUAGGCGGGCUUUCAAGUCGGUUGUGAAAUCCCUCAGCUCAACUGAGGAACUGCAUCCGAUACUGUUUGUCUUGAGGACGAGAGGGGAGAGUGGAACUUCUGGUGGAGCGGUGAAAUGCGUAGAUAUCAGAGGGAACACCGGUGGCGAAAGCGACUCUCUGGCUCGUAUCUGACGCUGAAACGCGAAAGCUUGGAGCAAACG